AUACGGAGGAUCCGAGCGUUAUCCGGAUUUAUUGGGUUUAAAGGGUGCGCAGGCGGCCAUUUAAGUCAGCGGUUAAAUCGUGGGGCUCAACCCCAUUCUGCCGUUGAUACUGGGUGGCUUGAUUGCGGUCGAGGUUGGCGGAAUUCGUUGUGUAGCGGUGAAAUGCAUAGAUAUGACGAAGAACACCGAUUGCGUAGGCAGCUUGCCAGACCGCAAAUGACGCUCAUGCACGAAAGUGCGGGGAUCGAACAGUAUUAGAUACCCUGGUAGUCCGCACAGUAAACGAUGAAUACUUGUUUUCGGCGAUAUAAUGUCGGAGGCAAAGCGAAAGCGAUAAGUAUUCCACCUGGGGAGUACGCCGGCAACGGUGAAACUCAAAGGAAUUGACGGGG
rnacentral:rRNA from 1 species